UGGGGAAUAUUGCGCAAUGGGGGGAACCCUGACGCAGCCAUGCCGCGUGAAUGAAGAAGGCCUUCGGGUUGUAAAGUUCUUUCGGUAUUGAGGAAGGUUGAUGUGUUAAUAGCACAUCAAAUUGACGUUAAAUACAGAAGAAGCACCGGCUAACUCCGUGCCAGCAGCCGCGGUAAUACGGAGGGUGCGAGCGUUAAUCGGAAUAGCUGGGCGUAAAGGGCACGCAGGCGGUUAUUUAAGUGAGGUGUGAAAGCCCCGGGCUUAACCUGGGAAUUGCAUUUCAGACUGGGUAACUAGAGUACUUUAGGGAGGGGUAGAAUUCCACGUGUAGCGGUGAAAUGCGUAGAGAUGUGGAGGAAUACCGAAGGCGAAGGCAGCCCCUUGGGAAUGUACUGACGCUCAUGUGCGAAAGCGUGGGGAGCAAACAGGAUUAGAUACCCUGGUAGUCCACGCUGUAAACGCUGUCGAUUUAGGGGUUGGGGUUUAACUCUGGCGCCCGUAGCUAACGUGAUAAAUCGACCGCCUGGGGAGUACGGCCGCAAGGUUA
rnacentral:rRNA from 1 species